CCCAGACUCCUACGGGAGGCAGCAGUGGGGGAUAUUGCACAAUGGGGGAAACCCUGAUGCAGCGACGCCGCGUGGGCGAAGAAGUAUUUCGGUAUGUAAAGCCCUAUCGGCAGGGAAGAAGGAGGACGGUACCUGACUAAGAAGCCCCGGCUAACUACGUGCCAGCAGCCGCGGUAAUACGGAGGGGGCGAGCGUUAUCCGGAUUUACUGGGUGUAAAGGGAGCGUAGACGGUUCUGCAAGUCUGAAGUGAAAGCCCGUGGCGUAACCGCGGAACGGCUUUGGAAACUGUGGAACUGGAGUGCUGGAGAGGCAAGCGGAAUUCCUAGUGUAGCGGUGAAAUGCGUAGAUAUUAGGAGGAACACCAGUGGCGAAGGCGGCCUGCUGGACGGUGACUGACGCUGAGGCUCGAAAGCGUGGGGAGCAAGCAGGAUUAGAUACCCGAGUAGG
rnacentral:rRNA from 1 species